rnacentral:rRNA from 1 species
AUGGAUAUGGAACACGAAAUACCAAAAAAAUUAGGUGUACUUGCUACUCAUGGAGAUGGGGAACCUCCUAAAACCCUCGAUGCUCGUUAUGUUAAAGAUUUUAUGUACUACUUUGAUAAUCCUGAGAAAACCCCAUUCAACUUUAUAAUGGGAGUAACGUUGGAUCAACGUGAAUACUUUAGGGAUUAUCGCUUGACUCAAAAAGGGAAACUAUUAUGGGAUCAAAUUUAUAUGUUGAAGUGGUAUGCUAGGAAACUAUGCUUGAGAUAUGAUUAUACUUGUUGCUCUAGGAUGAAGUCUCCACACCUUCCCUUUUCAUGCAAAUUUAAUGAUAAUGGAACCUUGGCUUCUUAUGCUAGAGGUAUAUAUGAUUACUAUGAUGUGGAACAAAUAGAAGAAUUUGUUGCUUUUAUGGGUGCUUACGAAAUUGAAUCUAUGUUCAAAGAAUAUGAAAAUCUUUAUGAUGCUGUUUACAGACCUGAAAAUUUAGCUAUCCUUAAAUAUUCUUAUGAGAAUUAUGAAUACAAUUCCGAUAUUGAUGCGUUUAUUGAGAAAGUCUCCGCUGUCCUAGAAGAGACUAAUAUUUUGUAG